CCGCCCGCGGUAACACCGGCACCUCAAGUGUAGCCAUUAUUAUUGGGCCUAAAGCGUUCGUAGCCGGCUUGGUUAAUUCCUGGGUAAAUCGUACCGCUCAACGGUGCGGAUUUCCGGGGACACUGCCAAGCUUGAGACCGGGGGAGAUCAGAGGUACUUGCGGGGGAGCGGUGAAAUGUUGUAAUCCCGCAGGGACCACCAAUGGCGAAGGCAUCUGAUCAAAACGGCUCUGACGGUGAGGGACGAAACCCUGGGGCGCAAACGGGAUUAGAUACCCCGGUAGUCCAGGGCGUAAACGCUGCUGACUUGGUGUUGGGGGUCCUGCGAGGGCGUCCAGUGCCGGCACGAAGGUAUUGAGUCAGCCGCCUGGGGAGUACGGUCGCAAGACUGAAACUUAAAGGAAUUGGCGGGGGAGCACUGCAACGGGUGGAGCGUGCGGUUUAAUUGGAUUCAACGCCGGAAAACUCACCGGGGGCGACGUUUACAUGAAGGCCAGGUUGAUGACCUUGCCUGAUUUUUCGAGAGGUGGUGCAUGGCCGCCGUCAGUUCGUACCGUAAGGCGUUCUGUUAAGUCAGAUAACGAACGAGACCCUCAUUGCCAUUUGCUAGGCUCUUCUCAGGAAGGGUUGCACUAUGGCGAUACCGCCACUGCUGAAGUGGAGGAAGGAGGGGGCAACGGUAGGUCAGUAUGCCCCGAAUCUCCCGGGCUACACGCGCGCUACAAAGGGCAGGACAAUGGGCUUCGACGCCGAAAGGCGGAGGCAAUCCCGAAACCUGCUCGUACUUCGGAUUGAGGGCUGCAAUUCGCCCUCAUGAAGCUGGAAUCCGUAGUAAUCGCGGGUCAACAUCCCGCGGUGAAUAUGCCCCUGCUCCUUGCACACACCGCCCGUCAAACCACCUUAGUUGGGUCUGGACGAGGUUCGCCUUUUGGCGCGCUCGAUUCUGGUACAG
rnacentral:rRNA from 1 species